rnacentral:rRNA from 1 species
AAACCAGCACCUCAAGUGGUCAGGAUGAUUAUUGGGCCUAAAGCAUCCGUAGCCGGUGUUGUAAGUUUCCGGUUAAAUCCAUUAGCUCAACUAAUGGGCCGCCGAAAAUACUGCAAAACUAGGGAGUGGGAGAGGUAGACGGUACUCGGUAGGAAGGGGUAAAAUCCUUUGAUCUAUUGAUGACCACCUGUGGCGAAGGCGGUCUACCAGAACACGUUCGACGGUGAGGGAUGAAAGCUGGGGGAGCAAACCGGAUUAGAAACCCGGGUAGUCC